rnacentral:tRNA from 1 species
GCUCCGUUAGCUUAGUCGGUAAAGCAUCCUACUUAUGCCAUAGGAAGAUCAUGGGUUCGAUUCCCUUACGGAGCA